GUCAGUGUAGCUCAGCUGGUUAGAGCACAGGAUUCAUAACCCUGAGGUCGGCGGUUCAAGUCCGCCCAUUGACACCA
rnacentral:tRNA from 3 species